AUGUCAAAAUUAAAGCUGUGUUUCUCAUUUACAGCUGCGAAUAUUGACUAUGAAGCUUUGAGAAGCUUUACCCGGGAUGACCUGAAGGAUCUCUUUCCAGGCCAUGAAAAUUUCUUCCGGAGAAAGAAGCUUUGGAAUUUCAUAAUCCAACAGACUGCUGAACAAGAUGCCAACACUUGCCAUCGAAGCGAGAGUAACCCCUUAGGCUUUGUUGUGUCUGAAUGUCAGCCACAAACUUCCAGUCCCAUUUCCUACACUGCUCACAAAACAAUGAAAAUGCCAGACGCACCAGAGUAUGUGUUGUAUACAGAUUCAGAACUGGACAUUGUGCGCAGUCAGUACUUUGCAUUGCUUCACAGUGGAAAGGAAAAGGACUGUAAGAUGUCGAAGGAGCUCUGUUGCAGACUUAUAAGGAACACAGUCACCAGCAUGGUUGCAAUCCUCCGUGCUAGUCCCAUGGGGAAAGAAGUAGGAUACCCCUCCAAACUUGAAAUGAGAGCAAUGUCACAGAAGAUUGUCGACUAUUACCCUAUGUUACGUGAUGCUGACACACACAUGCCAUAUGUGACCAUCUACACCAAACUGUACAAGCGACUCCAAAAUAUGAAGUCUCCAAGGAAGAGGCAGGGUUCCAUGCUGCAGCGAGUCCAAAUUUUGGACCUGGAGUUUGAGGCCAGACGAGCUUUUAUUGAUGCAGAUGUUACAAGGGAAGAAGACAGGCCCACAAAAAUAUUUGAAGCAUACCCGUGCUUCAAAGAUAUUCGAAAUGCGAUGGAUGAACUGCGUCGCAUCGUUGGUGGUUCCAACUGCAAAUGCAUAGAUCAAAUGAAGGGUAGAUGGGCAGAGUUUUGUUCGAAAGUGCAGUUCUAUGGCAUUUGGAAGAAGGUCCUGAAACCUCCUCUCCCCUUGGAUGUACGUGGAGUGGAGUUUACUGUCACUCUCUUCAAUGCACUUCCAUCUCUUUUUCCUUCACCAACUACACCACCAAAGCGGCUGGGAAGUGCCAGUGAGGCUCUCCUUCAUAUCCUCCAGCCAGGUGAAGAUGCUAUGCUAUACCUGGAGAAGCGGCCUCUCUCCUCCCCAGUGCUGCUUUUUGAUGGCACAACCAGCAUUGUUGCUGUAGGAAACAUACCAGUGACCACUCUCCCCUUGGAGGAUUUCUGGGAAGGAAUGUUGGUGUUGAUGGCAUAUUACUACACCUUGCACUUAACAUACCCGAAAUGUGUUGCAACGGUCCUCUCUGUCAUACAAACUGAGGUAAUCACUGAUGCCAUCCAUGAUCAAGAUGCCACUUGUGCAUAUAAGAAAGCAGUAGCUGAGUGGAAGUCAUUCUUUGAAAAAUAGGUGAAUACCAAGCAGAAUUUUAUCAGGUCAUUUGCAGUUUGUUUAGCUUUGUAGUGCGUUUGUACAACUUUGUUCCUAAUUUGCCUAGCAAUGUCCUGAGAAACUGCUUUACUUAUGCCUUACAAAUGAAAGUUGUUGUUUUUUUUUUUCUCUUAAUGACACUUUACCUGAGGCAUGUAAAGUUUUAAAUUAGUAAUGCCGUUAUUUACAACAUUGUGAGAUUAUGUGACUGUCACAAAGGUUUAGGGCCAAAAAUGUAAUUUCUUUUCUCUGUUUAGGCCUUCUAAAGGGUUGAUUUAGACUUUUAGGGAUUGUGCAGCAGCCCUAUAUUGUUUACAAAAAGGGUUUUGUUCUCAUGAGAGGAAUAAAUGUUGACAUAUAUCACUCUUGUCCUGGCUGUGAUUUCAGUAGAAGCCAAGGAAUAUUCUAGGAAAAAGGUCUGUUUUAAGGUUUUUGUGCUUGGAUUUAAUAUGGAUUAGGCUCUAUUUUAAGAUAAGCCAACCUGAAUCAAGAAACAAAUUAAUCAUACUUCACUAAUACUUAGUAGAUUUUCAUAGUAUUAGAACUAUUUUUCUCGUUGCAGUGCAUUCAUUUGCUGCAAGUAAGAAUUCAAAACAUAAAAAAGACUGUAAUUUAGCAUAUUUAACUUACUUUUGGGACUUGAUAUGAAGUAAUUUUAUCUAAAAUUGAGUUUUUAAAAGCUUAUUUUAACCCUCUUCAAUUCUCAAAUGUGUUCUUUUAUUUCUGGAUUAAAAAAUCUUAUUUCAAGAUUUCUUAUUAAGUAAAAUUAACUUGCUGCAUGGACAGAUAAUUUCACUUGUUUUCAGUGCUUUUUGUAUCAAAUGUAGUAUUUGUUUCCUAAAUGUAGACUACCCAUUUUUGCAGUGCACUUAAAGAAUAAUAUUAAGCUGGGUACGCAUUAGCCAAGUGAGGAAACACUAUCACAGGGAGCCGUCUGCACCGGGAGCCGGUCACAGACCGCAGCCUCCAGGCUGGGCAUGCAGCAGGAGGGAGGCAAAGAAGCCCCCCAGCCAGGCUGAGAGGAUCCACAGAGCCCUAGCAGCCACGGUCGAUCACAGCCCCGGUGCAGAGAGCCCUCUCCGAGGAAACACUGGAGAUAUGACCUAAUAAGAAUAUAAACAGGAUAAAAAGAUAAAAUAAAUAAGAGUGGGAUAUAAUAUAAAUAUAAGUAUAAACAGAGUAAGAAGAUAAAAAAUCAAUAAGAAUAAAAUCAAUAAAUAUCAGGUAAAACUAAAUUAAUAAUAUAAAUAGAAUAACAGGAUAGAAUAAAUAAGCGUAAAAUAAAUAAACGUUAGGUAAAAGCUAAAUUAAAAAGGUGGGUCUUGAGCCUGUUUUUAAAAACAUGAACGUUCUCUGCGGCCCUGAGCUCCUCCGGCAGGCUGUUCCACAGUCGAGGACCGAACCACUGAAAAGCUGCCUCUCCGUGAGUAUGUGUCCUGACUUUAGGAACAAUCAAAAGGCCAGUACCAGAGGACCUCAGGGUCCGCGAGGGUUCAUAUGGUAAAAGCAGAUCUGAAAGAUAAGAAGGCCCAAGACCAUUAAGACAUUUAAAAACCAAUAAAAGAACUUUAAAAUCGAUCCUGAAACACACGGGGAGCCAAUGCAGCGAUUGUAAAACCGGUGUAAUGUGGGCCCGCCCUCUGGUCUUCGUCAGCACACGAGCUGCAGAGUUUUGUAAAAGUUGCAAAGGUGAGAUAUUCUUUUUGGGGAGACCAGAGAGCAGGGCAUUACAGUAAUCAAUGCGACUGGUAAUAAAAGCAUGCAUCAGCAUCUCUGUGUUGGCCUGAGAGAGAAUAGGGCGGCCUCUGGCUAUAUUUUUUAGAUGAUAAAAUCCAAUUUUGGUUACGUGUUUAAUAUGUGGGAUAAAACCAAGCUCAGAGUCAAAAAUAACACCCAGGUUUUUCACUUGUAGAGAAGGACAUAGUGAAAAUGCCUGUAAUUUAGACAAGAGUUUCUCUCUCUGAGCCUCAGGACCGAUGAUUAAAACUUCAGUUUUGUCCUGGUUAAGCUGUAAAAAGUUUUCUGCCAUCCAAGAUUUUAUAUCUAGAAUACAGUUAAAAAGGGCAUCCAUUGGUCUGGUGUCAUCAGGAGACACGGAGAUGUACAGCUGAGUGUCAUCAGCGUAACUGUGGAAGUUCACUCCAUGCCUCCUGAUGAUGCCGCCAAGAGGGAGCAUAUACAAAUUAAAAAGUACAGGGCCUAAAACCGACCCUUGAGGCACACCACAUGUCAUUUUAUGGAUCUUAGAGGAGCAUGUAUCCAAACACACCAUAAAGGUUCUGUCUGAGAGAUAGGAAGUGAACCAGUUGUGUACAGCACCAGAGAGGCCCACCAUGUGUUUCAGUCUGUUUAAAAGUAUAGCGUGGUCUACUGUAUCAAAGGCUGCGCUUAGAUCCAGUAGCACCAGGACUGAGAGCUUUUGGGAGUCCCAGUUACAUCUAAGAUCAUUUAAAACCUUUAGGAGAGCGGUCUCUGUGCUGUGGUUCACCCGAAAUCCAGACUGAAAUAUCUCCAGGAUCUGUCUAUCAUUCAGAAAAUCAUUAAUCUGAGUAAAAACAAGUUUUUCUAAAAUUUUACUUAAAAAUGGUAAGUUGGAUACAGGUCUGUAGUUAUUAAAAUCAUUACAAUCCAAAUUGCUCUUCUUCAGAAGGGGCCUCACCACCACCGUUUUAAAGGCAGCAGGGAAGACACCCAACUGAAGAGAGCAAUUCAUCAUGUAUCAAAGCUCCGCUUCAAAAAAUCCAUGAAGUGUUUUAAAAAGUGAAGAGGGGAUUGGAUCUAAAAGACAUGUGGUGGGUCUCACUGUGGAGAAAACUUUACGUUAAGUAACCAUGAAGCAUAACUGCAAACAUUUAGU
ensembl:lncRNA